rnacentral:rRNA from 1 species
GAUGAACGCUAGCGGCAGGCUUAAUACAUGCAAGUCGUACGGGAUCCGAGGUAGCAAUAUCUUGGUGAGAGUGGCGCACGGGUGCGUAACACGUAUGCAACCUACCUUUAACCGGGACACAACCUCGAGAAAUUGAGGCUAAUAUCCCAUAACACUGCGAGAUGGCAUCAUUUUGCAGUUAAAACUCCGGUGGUUAUUGAUGGGCAUGCGCGACAUUAGCUAGUUGGUGAGGUAACGGCCCACCAAGGCUACGAUGUCUAGGGGUUCUGAGAGGAUUAUCCCCCACACUGGUACUGAGACACGGACCAGACUCCUACGGGAGGCAGCAGUAAGGAAUAUUGGUCAAUGGGCGCAAGCCUGAACCAGCCAUGCCGCGUGAAGGAUGACGGCCCUAUGGGUUGUAAACUUCUUUUGUACGGGAAAAAACCACCGGUCGUGUAUCGGUGCUGAUGGUACCGUAAGAAUAAGCAUCGGCUAACUCCGUGCCAGCAGCCGCGGUAAUACGGAGGAUGCAAGCGUUAUCCGGAUUCAUUGGGUUUAAAGGGUGCGCAGGCGGAGUGAUAAGUCAGUGGUGAAAGCCUACAGCUUAACUGUAGAACUGCCAUUGAUACUGUCAUUCUUGAGUAUUGUUGAGGUAGGCGGAAUGUGUCAUGUAGCGGUGAAAUGCUUAGAUAUGACACAGAACACCGAUCGCGAAGGCAGCUUACCAAGCAAUAACUGACGCUCAUGCACGAAAGCGUGGGGAUCAAACAGGAUUAGAUACCCUGGUAGUCCACGCCGUAAACGAUGAUCACUCGAUGUUGGCGAUACACAGUCAGCGUCUUAGGG